rnacentral:rRNA from 1 species
UACGGAGGGUGCAAGCGUUAUCCGGAUUCACUGGGUUUAAAGGGUGCGUAGGCGGGUAGGUAAGUCCGUGGUGAAAUCUCUGAGCUUAACUCAGAAACUGCCGUGGAUACUAUUUUGCCUUGAAUAUUGUGGAGGUGAGCGGAAUAUGUCAUGUAGCGGUGAAAUGCUUAGAUAUGACAUAGAACACCAAUUGCGAAGGCAGCUCACUACACAAUGAUUGACGCUGAGGCACGAAAGCGUGGGGAUCAAACAGGA